rnacentral:sRNA from 19 species
UGAAAACGUUUUAAAAUAGAGACGUUCUUGAAUUUCGUUUAAAGGGAAAAGAAUUGCCAAAUACCCCACAAGAGGGCCGUUGGAAGGAGAUUAUUCUUUUUCAUUUCAGCGAAAAAAUUUUUAAAAGGAGGAAGAACAAGA